UUUUUUGGUCAACUACUAAUACACUUAAAUCUUGAUAAUAUAGUGGAAACUAGAAUGAUAUCAUAUGAGUAUAGUUAUAGAACAAAACAAAGGUUCACCCUCUGGAUUCCCUCUAGAAUGAACCUUUGAAUUCACAUCUUCUUCUAUGACCAAUCAAAAUGUCACGUAGAUAAUUAAUUAAAAAUAUUAAAUUUAUUUUAUAAUAACUAAAAAGAAUGUUAAUUUUAACAACGCUGACGCCAUCAGCUAAACCGUAAAUACGAAAUCUUAAAUUCUUAACCCUAAACCAUAAAUCUUAAACCCAAACCCUAUACCCUAAACCCAAAUCCUAGACCCUAAACCCAAACCGUAAACCUUAAAUCCAAACCCUAUACCCUAAAACAAAUCGUAGACUCUAAACCCAAACCGUAUAUUCUAAAUCCAAAUCUUAGACUUAAAACUCAAACCGUAAACCUAAACCCAAACUCAAACCCUAAACCUAGACGUUAUAAGAUUUAGGUUUAGGGUCUAGGAUUUAGGUUUAGGGUAUAUGAUUUGGGUUUAUGGUUUAUGAUUUGGGUUUAGGGUAUACAUUUUGGAUUUAGGGUAUACAAUUUGGGUUUAUGGUAUAAGAUUUGGGUUUACGGUAUAGUAUUUAGGGUUUGGGUUUAGGAUUUAAGGUUUAGGGUUUAUGAUUUAGAAUUUAAGGUUUAGGUUUAGGAUUUAGAAUUUAAAGUUUAGGGUUUAGGGUUUAGAAUUUAAGAUUUAAGGUUUACGGUUUAACUAGCAGCGUCAUCGUCGUUAAAAUUAGCGUUAUUAUUUUUUUUUAUAGCUAUUUCUAAAUAAAUUUAAUAUUUUUUAAUUAAUUAUCUACGUGACACUUUGAUUGGUUCUAGAACGAGAGGUGAAUUAAAGGUUCACCCUAAGGGAUAAACUAAGUUUUGUUCAUAGUUAUAUAUAGACGUUAAUAUUUUGAUGUAUAUGCAGUUGAUUGUC
rnacentral:lncRNA from 1 species